GACGAACGCUGGCGGCGUGCCUAAUACAUGCAAGUCGAACGAGAGCGACCGGUGCUUGCCCUGGUCAAUCUAGUGGCGAACGGGUGAGUAACACGUGGGUAACCUGCCCAUCAGAGGGGGAUAACAUCCGGAAACGGAUGCUAAAACCGCAUAGGUCUUCGAGCCGCAUGGCUUGAAGAGGAAAAGAGGCGCAAGCUUCUGCUGAUGGAUGGACCCGCGGUGCAUUAGCUAGUUGGUGAGGUAACGGCUCACCAAGGCCGUGAUGCAUAGCCGACCUGAGAGGGUGAUCGGCCACAUUGGGACUGAGACACGGCCCAAACUCCUACGGGAGGCAGCAGUAGGGAAUCUUCCGCAAUGGACGCAAGUCUGACGGAGCAACGCCGCGUGAGUGAAGAAGGUUUUCGGAUCGUAAAACUCUGUUGUUAGAGAAGAACAAGUGCUAGAGUAACUGUUAGCGCCUUGACGGUAUCUAACCGGAAAGCCACGGCUAACUACGUG
rnacentral:rRNA from 1 species